UACGACUACAUAUCAGGCAUAUCAAUAAGCGGAGGAAAAGAAACUAACAUAGGAUUCCCUUAGUAACGGCGAGUGAAGCGGGAAGAGCUCAAAUUUGAAAUCUUCAAGGUUUUACCUUGACGAAUUGUAGUUUAAAGAAGUGUUUUCUGUUGAAGUUUUCGGUAAAAGUUCUUUGGAAUAGGACAUCAUAGAGGGUGAGAAUCCCGUAUUUGACCAGUUAUUUUCCAGCUGUGUGAUACACUUUCAAAGAGUCGGAUUGUUUGGGAAUGCAGUCCAAAAUGGGUGGUAAAUUUCAUCUAAAGCUAAAUAUUGGCGAGAGACCGAUAGCGAACAAGUACCGUGAGGGAAAGAUGAAAAGAACUUUGAAAAGAGAGUUAAACAGUACGUGAAAUUGUCAAAAGGGAAGCGUUUGACACCAGUGUUGUUUUCUCGAAAAUCAAUUAAAAAGUAACUUGGAUUUUGUAUUGUUAUGACCUUAUCAAGCUUACUUCACUUUUUUCUUAUUCUUUUUAAUGCACUUUUCGUUUAACAAGUCAACAUCAGUUUCUUUUGUUGUAAAAGAGUCAUUGGAAGGUGGCUUUCACUUCGGUGAAAGUGUUUAUAGCCUUUGGCUUCUGCAAUCGGAGAGAUUGAGGUCUGCAGCGUAGAUCCUUCGGGGUUAGAUACGUAGAUGCUAAGUUAUAGUUUUUCAUAGACAACUUGUUGACUAUGAUUAAUCAUGUAGCUUACUCGUUUGCGCUAUUUUACCUACGCUUAGGAUGUUGAUCUCUCACAGUCGAGC
rnacentral:rRNA from 1 species